rnacentral:rRNA from 1 species
CACGAAACUUGCCCCGAGAUGAGUUCUCCCNUGACUCCUUGAGAGUCCUGAAGGAACGUUGAAGACGACGACGUUGAUAGGCCGGGUGUGUAAGCGCAGCGAUGCGUUGAGCUAACCGGUACUAAUGAACCGUGAGGCUUAACCUUACAACGCCGAAG